CUUUAUAUCCCACAGGGUUCAGAUAAAAC
rnacentral:other from 1 species